rnacentral:rRNA from 1 species
CCUACGGGGGGCUGCAGUGGGGAAUAUGGACAAUGGGGGGAACCCUGAUCCAGCCAUGCCGCGUGUGUGAAGAAGGCCCUCGGGUUGUAAAGCACUUUCAGUGAGGAAGAACGCCUGGGGGUUCAUACCCAUCAGGAAAGACAUCACUCACAGAAGAAGCACCGGCUAACUCCGUGCCAGCAGCCGCGGUAAUACGGAGGGUGCGAGCGUUAAUCGGAAUUACUGGGCGUAAAGCGCGCGUAGGUGGCUUGAUAAGCCGGUUGUGAAAGCCCCGGGCUCAACCUGGGAACGGCAUCCGGAACUGUCAAGCUAGAGUGCAGGAGAGGAAGGUAGAAUUCCCGGUGUAGCGGUGAAAUGCGUAGAGAUCGGGAGGAAUACCAGUGGCGAAGGCGGCCUUCUGGACUGACACUGACACUGAGGUGCGAAAGCGUGGGUAGCAAACAGGAUUAGAUACCCCAGUAGUC